rnacentral:pre_miRNA from 1 species
CAAGUACUCCCUCCGUCCGGAAUUACUUGUCAUCAAAAUGGAUGUGUCUAUAACUAAAAUACAUCUAGAUACAUCCAUUUCAAUAACAAGUAUUUUUGGACGGAGGGAGUACAAG